ACGAAGCUCAGCAGUCCUGUCGCCUCCCUGCACGGCGGCCUGGAUCCCUGCAUCGCAUCGUCGCCUCGCUGGACGGUUCCCUCGCCGUCCUGCACCGCAUUGAGGCCUCCCUGCCGGCCUCCCUCGCCGCCCUACACCGCACCGUCGAGUGGGCGGCCGCUCCUCCUUCACCUACAAUCAAAUAUUCACGGAUCGGCCAGGCUACAACAAGAUUAUUAUGCAUCAUCUGCAUGAGUUCUGGAGCAGUAGGCAGCCCCAUCAGAUUGGCCAGGUAUGAUUUCGACGGCCAAUGAAGACCCACCUAACAAGAUACAACCUCACCUUCGUUUCUAAUAUCCGUCCGACAGAUCGCCAGUGCCUAGGAGCCUGCUCCGGCACCCGCGCCGCCGCGCCCGCCCUGAAAUUCCCCUGAACCAGCCAGCCACACGCAACUAUAAUUCUUCCCUGCACUUCUUCAGGGCCUAACGUCCAAAUUUCAGGGGUUAAGGUACCCCAACUCAGCAGAAUACGUGACCCAUAUUGCACAAUUGAAGAUGGUUAGUUCGUCGAUUUAGGCCCUGUUCGGUAGUCGCCCGCUCCCGGAAUCUGCGGAGCAGGGGAAGUGCAGCUCGGUCGUUUUGAACUGCAGCUCCGCCAACUCCGCUCCUGGAGUUGUGGAGCGGAGUGGUACCGGACAGGGCCUUAAUUAUGUUGCAACUGUGUCGACAAUGUUUAUUUGACCGUACAUUCGGGUUCUCUUUCCUUUGUUCAGACAAAUGAUCCAUACAUGAUGACGCAUCAAGAUGUAGCUUUUGAAUCGUACCAACUUGGACGCAAUACUCCCAUAGCAAAUACUGAUGAAUACAUGAAUUUUGUUCUUAGAGAAUGCAUGCAUCUCUAAGAUAAGGAAUUUAGCUCUAUACAGGAUGACCCACCAAGAUGGGUAUUAAAGAGAGCUACAACUUAUUUGGAACAUGAUAUGGUGAGCCUCAGUUCCGUACAUAUUACUAUUAAUUCAAUCGGGGACGGAUGUUUGUAUAGAUGGGACCUAAACUAAAAAAAUGCCUAUUUUCAGAUAUUCGUUCUAGCUGUUGCAUGAAUAAACAUUGAAGACUUUAUUGGUACCUAGCAGUUAAAAAUACCAAGGUGCAGUGUAUCCAGGUGCUCGACUCGCUAGGCCCAGGAAUGCACCGCAAAGACCUCACCGCUAUGGUUAGUUAUUAGUCCGACUGCACCAUCGUUUGAUAAGACCAUAAUGCGGUGGAGAAUCACAUGGGCAGAUGACCCCCUAUGGCGGCAGGAGACAGAGUCCUCUUAUUUCUUAUUUGGGGACAAAGAAUGCAAGGGACAUGCUAUCAGUUCCUAGAAGAAAGUGGUGGUCGAGUAGGAAGAGGGAGGAGAUGCAAACAUCACUGCUAAUCCGACCAGUUCAGGAAACACAUAAAGAUAAUAUGUAUCCUUUGAGCAAUAGGAUCAGCUUCAUGUCCAUAUGGUCACUACACAUGCCAUGCAGGCGGCAAGAUAUGGGCAUGUCCAUCUCAAUGACGGCGAGAUCAACGUGGUGCAGCACAACUCUGUCUGAGUCAGCAGCAGCGAAUUGUUUCUACGGAGGUCUAAUCCUUUUCGGAUUAUAUGACAGAUUUUAGAACAAAAUCAGUUGUCAUUUUAGCGGACUCGGAAUUGAAUGAUGAUGAUGAUGAUGAUGAUAUAAGAAAUCGAGACAUGGAAGAUGACGUUCAGGGUGCCACAAAUCACAUGGAUUGUAUGAUUCUUGGAUAGACCCUCUGAGAACCUCAAAACAUCAAAUACAUCAUCAGAAGUUGAGCUCAUCUCGCAAUCAUUUACCCUUUCAACGUCUCUCAAUCCAACAAAUGAUGACUUAUUGGAUGAAAUUUGCUUUUUUAUCAGUAUGGUUGAUGAUGUCGCUCUACUAGAGUGAGACAUAUUUUUUUUAGUUAAUUUUGAAUUCCAAUAAAUUACUACUCUGAUGUCAUUAUAACUGAGAGAGUUCUGAUUUUACAUUAGUGAAUGGGUGAAAAGGUCUAAUCUUUAUCCUAUUAGUUUAAAUUUGAGACAAGUAAAAAAACAUACGAGACAAUGAUGAAUACAUGGAUGUUGACUGAUUUAAUAUGUGUGUAGGGAUACUAGCGCGCCACGAAGUCCAGCUAUUCAGAGACAUUCCAUCUUACUAUAUGGAUCUAAACUUUUGUAUAAGUUACUAUAAUCACAUAUUACAUUUUGCCUCAUAUCACCAAUGUUUUCUUAUUCUUGUCUUAGUUGAUGUGCCAGUAUGCACGAGAUAGUCAUCGUGACAAUAUAGACAUUGGUAAAAUGAAAAUUAGAUUCAGAAUAUAUGUUUUUUAUUAUAGAUUAUGAUAUGUGCCUUCGAUCACAAAUAUGUCACACUUUUAGAAAUACAAUUUGAGUGACUUGACAACAUUUUGUAGCGAUCUAAAAUUUUGGAUAAAUAGUAUUUUAAUAUUGUACCAUGUGAAUUUAUUUUGUUUCAGACGUGCGUUGCACGUGCAUGCUUACUAGUGGUGUAAAUGAUCAAACCUUCUGAUGAGUGCAGGCAGUCCGAAAGGGAUCUUGAAUUGGAGCGCCAUCGCUGUGUGCUGCUACUGCUACUGGUUUUUUUUUUCUAGUACUGCUGGAUGGAGGUGUUGGGGCAUGUCUGAAACUUUGAAUUCAGUGUGCCUUUGUGCUGUCUGUUUCCUCAUGUAAAAUACCGGUCGUCUGGACUUUGAGUGGAGGCAUUUACCUGACUAAAUGAAGGAGGUUUACUUGAUCACGUACAAGUGUACAGGAAUGACCGUAUGAGAGGAUAGUUUG